UUUUUCAUUCAUUAAUCAUGCAAGCAUUUCUAACAAAUGAAGCCUUUGGAAAGAUAAAAAUGAAGUAGAGAUGCUUACUUGAGGAAACAUCGGGAAAAACAACCAUUUAUGCACCUUCAUAACAUGUGGCAAUCGCCUCAUGUAGCAGG